rnacentral:rRNA from 1 species
GUCGAGCGGUAGAGAGAAGCUUGCUUCUCUUGAGAGCGGCGGACGGGUGAGUAAUGCCUAGGAAUCUGCCUGGUAGUGGGGGAUAACGUUCGGAAACGGACGCUAAUACCGCAUACGUCCUACGGGAGAAAGCAGGGGACCUUCGGGCCUUGCGCUAUCAGAUGAGCCUAGGUCGGAUUAGCUAGUUGGUGRGGUAAUGGCUCACCAAGGCGACGAUCCGUAACUGGUCUGAGAGGAUGAUCAGUCACACUGGAACUGAGACACGGUCCAGACUCCUACGGGAGGCAGCAGUGGGGAAUAUUGGACAAUGGGCGAAAGCCUGAUCCAGCCAUGCCGCGUGUGUGAAGAAGGUCUUCGGAUUGUAAAGCACUUUAAGUUGGGAGGAAGGGUUGUAGAUUAAUACUCUGCAAUUUUGACGUUACCGACAGAAUAAGCACCGGCUAACUCUGUGCCAGCAGCCGCGGUAAUACAGAGGGUGCAAGCGUUAAUCGGAAUUACUGGGCGUAAAGCGCGCGUAGGUGGUUUGUUAAGUUGGAUGUGAAAUCCCCGGGCUCAACCUGGGAACUGCAUUCAAAACUGACUGACUAGAGUAUGGUAGAGGGUGGUGGA